GACAGUAGAAACAAAACUGAAACUGUUUGAGCAGCAUAUUCCAGAAGUCUUGAGGUCUUUCUGAGUGUAGCCUUCAUUGAUUUGAGAUCUACCAUACCAUUCUCUCACUAGAAGGGAAAACCUCUAAUGGCAGCAAGCCGUAAAAAGAGACCCAGUUUGGGAAUAUUUUAAAUGAAGUUCCUCUACCUGUGAGUAAAACAGGCAUGCGUGCAAAAUGCAAACAGUGCAACAAAGAAAUGCAAGGCCUGGUUGCCCGAAUGAAACACCAUCAUGAGAAGUGUUUCCUUCUCAAGAGGAAGCUGCGUUGAAGAUGAUGAAAGGAACAUGUCUGAAAUGCAGGAUCUUCAGGAGAAUCCAUCCUCGACAUACAGGAUUCUGAAGAUUAUCCACCUGCAAGAUCACCAUCAUUUUCUAUAGUUUCAGAGUUAUCUGCCAAUGAUAGCAUUUCAAUCACAUCAUGUAUGUCACAUAGCCACAGUAUAUCACCUGUAGCAAAAUGAAAAAACAAUUCUCCAUCAUCCAGACACAACCAUAAAAUAAGUCUGUGAUAAGAAUCAGCAGAUUACAACAGAAUAA